CCAAAAGUCAACAACGACACACACACACCUAUUCCGUCCACAUGUAUUAAUACAACUGCCUUCUUACAAGCUGUACAUGUGUCAUUAAAAAUCACUACUCCUGUUGUAACAUUAUGUAACACAGCAAACAAAAGGCAGAAAAGGGAAUGGUAUGACACACUGUUAGGAGGUGCUGGAACCACUAUGGGUAUACUAAAUAGUUAUAGAUAUGGAGACCCUCAAGAAUAAGUUAAACACAGCCAGUAUGCAUAUAGGGACUGGUUUUCAUGCUACUGCAAACUGGGCUCCAAUUGUUGUUAAAUCACAGGUUACAGGAUUGGAUUUAGAUAAAUCAAUGUAUAAUUAUUUAGAUAAUUUAACUGUUGCAACUAUGAAAUUCACUAGAGGUCUAAGUAACUGGAGUACUUGUGCCAUCAGGUAUUUAUGGAUACAACAACAAGGAUUGGCAUUAGAAAACACACUAAUGAUUCCCAAACUAGAGAAGAUUAGAGGAAAGCGUAACCUCACAGAUAAUGAAUGGUUACUUCUAAAACCCCAAUCCAGUAAAUGCAAUGGAUGGUUAACUGGUAAUGUUUCACAUUUUUCAUGCUCAUGCUAUUUUACAUUAUAUCAUACAACAUCAAAGGAUGUUAAAUUAGCUUGUCAAUUUAACACAUUACCAGUACCAGUUUAUGAUCUUUUUGCCAAGAAUUUAACCUGGUGGGCACCCACAUACACAGGGGACUAUAUUUUUCCCAAAGAUAACACACACAGGUAGCCACACAUAUCCUAAAAGGAG